AUGCUGAUGCUCNNNNNNNNNNNNNNNNNNNNGGUUCUCUCUCUCUCGCUCUGGUUCUCUCUCGCUCUCGCUCUGGUUCUCUCUCGCUCUCGCUCUGGUUCUCUCUCGCUCUCGCUCUGGUUCUCUCUCGCUCUCGCUCUGGUUCUCUCUCGCUCUCGCUCUGGUUCUCUCGCUCUCUCUGGCUCUCUCGCUCUGGUUCUCUCGCUCUGGUUCUCUCGCUCUCUCGCUCUGGUUCUCUCGCUCUCUCGCUCUGGUUCUCUCGCUCUCUCGCUCUGGUUCUCUCGCUCUCUCGCUCUGGUUCUCUCGCUCUCUCGCUCUGGUUCUCUCGCUCUCUCGCUCUGGUUCUCUCGCUCUCUCUCUCUCUCUGGUUCUCUCGCUCUCUCUCUGUCUGAUUGUGUCUCUCUCUUUCUCUUUCUCUCUCUUUCUCUCUUUCUCUCUUUCUCUCUUUCUCUCUCUCUCUCUCGUGUUUUCUCUCUCUCUCUCUCGUGUUUUCUCUCUCUCUCUCUCGUGUUUUCUCUCUCGUGUUUUCUCUCUCUCGUUUUCUCUCUCUCGUUCUCUCUCUCUCUCUCGUUCUCUCUCUCUCUGGUUCUCUCUGGUUCUCUCUUUCUCUCUCUUUCUCUCUCUCUCUUUCUCUCUCUCUCUCGUUUUCUCUCUCUCUCUCGUUUUCUCUCUCUCUCUCGUUUUCUCUCUCUCUCUCGUUUUCUCUCUCUCUCUCGUUUUCUCUCUCUCUGGUUCUCUCUCUCGCUCUGGUUCUCUCUCUCGCUCUGGUUCUCUCUCUCGCUCUGGUUCUCUCGCUCGCUCUGGUUCUCUCGCUCGCUCUGGUUCUCUGGUUCUCUCGCUCUGGUUCUCUGGUUCUCUCGCUCUGGUUCUCUGGUUCUCUCGCUCUGGUUCUCUCGCUCUCUCGCUCUGGUUCUCUCGCUCUCUCUCUCUGGUUCUCUCGCUCUCUCUCGCUCUGGUUCUCUCGCUCUCUCUCGCUCUGGUUCUCUCGCUCUCUCUCUCUGA
rnacentral:lncRNA from 8 species